rnacentral:ncRNA from 2 species
UAAAAAAAAUAUUAUAUAUAAUUUGCUGUCAAAGAAUAUGGGAAUGAGGGUGAAAAUCCUUCGCUGGCACGCAACCGUAAAGUUUAGUUUUUUAUAUAAAUAAAAUAACUAACGAAGUCGGAUACCAUUAAAAUAGGGAGUGCACUG